UACGUAGGGGGCAAGCGUUGUCCGGAAUCAUUGGGCGUAAAGCGCGUGUAGGCGGGUCGGUAAGUCCGCUCUGAAAGCCCGGGGCUCAACCCCGGGAGGCGGGUGGAUACUGUCGACCUCGAGUCCGGAAGAGGCGAGUGGAAUUCCUGGUGUAGCGGUGAAAUGCGUAGAUAUCGGGAGGAACACCUGUGGCGAAAGCGGCUCACUGGACCACAACUGACGCUGAGGCGCGAAAAGCUAGGGGAGCAAACAGG
rnacentral:rRNA from 1 species